rnacentral:lncRNA from 1 species
GUAACAUUGCCAUGCAACAUUUAUCUCAUUGCCAUGAGAUAAAGCAAUGUUUUAAUCCACUUUAUGGAUGAGGAAAGUGAGACUGGAUUUAAGAGUCUGUUUAUUGAUGGCCUCACAAGGCACAUGAGGUUGCCCAGAGAUAAAUGAGCAAUGGAACUUAUUACGAGCUGGGCUGAGCAGAGAGCCCAGGCUCCCAGCCUCCUUCCCCGUAUUCACUGCUUCCCGUCCUCAGCUCCACAGGAAGAGACUCAACAGGAAGAUGCUAGGGAAGACCUGUGACCCAGGGAUGCUGCUUGAGGAAAGAGGGGGCAGUAUUGGGUGGAUUGUUACCCUACCCGGGGCCUGGGAUAGAGGGGACUGGGGGCGGGGAUGGUGUGAGCACACAUGUCAUGGCAUGUUUUCAAGGUGAGCUGGGAAGGGUGAGCAUGAGAGCUGGAGGUCACUGUGCAGCGUGCACCUCAUCCUCUACCUGCGGCAAACUCGAGUCUGGAAGAUGCACGUCACAAGGAGGGAGGGACUUCUCCCUGCGUGAUGUGAACAGGGCCAGUAUUUGGUGAGAAGGAAGUUGUGCAGAUGGUUCACAAGUGGAGGAAUUUGGGGGCAGUGAAAGCUGUGUGUGCCCAUGUGAGAAGACUGGGCCAAGAGGGCACCCCUGGGGGUGCAGAGACAGUGCCCAUGGGAGUCCGUGGUGCACAGCAGCCACCCAGCUCUGGUGCGUGCAUAGGAACAAGAGUGCGCAGGCCAGAGAGGUCCCUGACCUUCCACUCCUGUGCACCACCACCCCCUCCCACUCCACCGCAGGAAGUCUGAUGGGGCUGGGGUGUAACUCUGCGUUUUCACCUUGACCUCUGCCCCCUCUCAGGCUGCAGCCCCUCACACCCACCAGUGGGCACAUUCACAUGAACAUGUGGCCACGGGCACAGUCCUGGGCCCCUGUCUUGGGUGUGGCCCUGGUCCCCGCAUCUUCUCUCUUCUCUGCCCAGACAGCCUCACCCCAAACACUGAUGUCUUCUCAGGAAGGCCUUCCUCUGCCCUUCCUCU